rnacentral:tRNA from 1 species
GCGAGUAUAGCUCAGUGGUAGAGUAUAACCUUGCCAAGGUUAAUGUCACGCGUUCGAAUCGCGUUACUCGCU